CCUAAUUAUGGCUUUCAAGAGGCAAUAUCUUAUUUUGGUGAUUCUCUUUCUUUUUGUGUUGCUUCUUUCUGCUGAAGCAACAGCAAAGAAGAUUCACAAGAGAGAAGGAUACUCGCCACCCAAGUAUCAAGCAAUCGAUGUUUGAAAAGAGUGACAUCACGUUAUAAACCUCGUUGCCACAAUUAUUAGCAAUAAUAAUAAUAAUAAUAAUAAUAAUAAUAAUAAUAAUAAUGUAAUGCUUCUGAUCUAUUUGUAAACUCAUUGUCUAAAUAGUUAUUUAGUUAUUUUGUGUAUUGUAAUGUUAUUACAAACCCAAGGGCUCCACAAGAAUUAUGUAAUGUUCAAAUAUUUAUAAAUA